CCUACGGGAGGCAGCAGUGGGGAAUCUUGCACAAUGGGGGAAACCCUGAUGCAGCGACGCCGCGUGAGCGAUGAAGCCCUUCGGGGUGUAAAGCUCUUUCGGCAGGGACGAUCAUGACGGUACCUGCGGAAGAAGCUGCGGCUAACUACGUGCCAGCAGCCGCGGUAAUACGUAGGCAGCGAGCGUUGUUCGGAGUUACUGGGCGUAAAGGGUGUGUAGGCGGUGCUCUAAGUUCGGUGUGAAAUCUCCCGGGUCAACCGGGAGGGGGCGCCGAAUACUGGAGGGCUCGAGCGCGGGAGAGGAAAGCGAAAUUCCUGGUGUAGCGGUGAAAUGCGUAGAUAUCAGGAGGACCACCGGUGGUGAAGACGGCUUUCGGGACCGGUUCUGACACUCAUGCGCGAAAGCGUGGGGAGCAAACAGGAUUAGAUCCCCCGGUAGU
rnacentral:rRNA from 1 species